rnacentral:rRNA from 1 species
GACGAACGCUGGCGGCGUGCUUAACACAUGCAAGUCGAGCGGUAAGGCCCUUUCGGGGGUACACGAGCGGCGAACGGGUGAGUAACACGUGGGUGACCUGCCUUUAGCUCUGGGAUAAGCCUGGGAAACUGGGUCUAAUACCGGAUAUGACCCUAUGGCGCAUGUUGUGGGGUGGAAAGCCUUGUGCGGCUAGGGAUGGGCCCGCGGCCUAUCAGCUUGUUGGUGGGGUGAUGGCCUACCAAGGCGACGACGGGUAGCCGGCCUGAGAGGGCGACCGGCCACACUGGGACUGAGACACGGCCCAGACUCCUACGGGAGGCAGCAGUGGGGAAUCUUGCGCAAUGGGCGAAAGCCUGACGCAGCGACGCCGCGUGAGGGAUGACGGCCUUCGG